GGAAUUUCGAUUAGAGUUUGAUUAUGGCUCAGAUUGAACGCUGGCGGCAUGCUUUACACAUGCAAGUCGAACGGUAACAGGGAGCUUGCUCCGCUGACGAGUGGCGAACGGGUGAGUAAUGCAUCGGAACGUACCCAGUCGUGGGGGAUAACGUAGCGAAAGUUACGCUAAUACCGCAUACGUCCUGAGGGAGAAAGCGGGGGACCGAAAGGCCUCGCGCGAUUGGAGCGGCCGAUGUCGGAUUAGCUAGUUGGUAGGGUAAAGGCCUACCAAGGCGACGAUCCGUAGCGGGUCUGAGAGGAUGAUCCGCCACACUGGGACUGAGACACGGCCCAGACUCCUACGGGAGGCAGCAGUGGGGAAUUUUGGACAAUGGGCGAAAGCCUGAUCCAGCCAUGCCGCGUGAGUGAAGAAGGCCUUCGGGUUGUAAAGCUCUUUCAGCCGGAAAGAAAUCGCACAGGCUAAUACUUUGUGUGGAUGACGGUACCGGAAGAAGAAGCACCGGCUAACUACGUGCCAGCAGCCGCGGUAAUACGUAGGGUGCGAGCGUUAAUCGGAAUUACUGGGCGUAAAGCGUGCGCAGGCGGUUAUGUAAGACAGAUGU
rnacentral:rRNA from 1 species